rnacentral:rRNA from 1 species
GGUUAAGCGACUAAGCGUACACGGUGGAUGCCCUGGCAGUCAGAGGCGAUGAAGGACGUGCUAAUCUGCGAUAAGCGUCGGUAAGGUGAUAUGAACCGUUAUAACCGGCGAUUUCCGAAUGGGGAAACCCAGUGUGAUUCGUCACACUAUCAUUAACUGAAUCCAUAGGUUAAUGAGGCGAACCGGGGGAACUGAAACAUCUAAGUACCCCGAGGAAAAGAAAUCAACCGAGAUUCCCCCAGUAGCGGCGAGCGAACGGGGAGCAGCCCAGAGCCUGAAUCAGUGUGUGUGUUAGUGGAAGCGUCUGGAAAGGCGCGCGAUACAGGGUGACAGCCCCGUACACAAAAAUGCACAUACUGUGAGCUCGAUGAGUAGGGCGGGACACGUGGUAUCCUGUCUGAAUAUGGGGGGACCAUCCUCCAAGGCUAAAUACUCCUGACUGACCGAUAGUGAACCAGUACCGUGAGGGAAAGGCGAAAAGAACCCCGGCGAGGGGAGUGAAAAAGAACCUGAAACCGUGUACGUACAAGCAGUGGGAGCACGCUUAGGCGUGUGACUGCGUACCUUUUGUAUAAUGGGUCAGCGACUUAUAUUCUGUAGCAAGGUUAACCGAAUAGGGGAGCCGAAGGGAAACCGAGUCUUAACUGGGCGUUAAGUUGCAGGGUAUAGACCCGAAACCCGGUGAUCUAGCCAUGGGCAGGUUGAAGGUUGGGUAACACUAACUGGAGGACCGAACCGACUAAUGUUGAAAAAUUAGCGGAUGACUUGUGGCUGGGGGUGAAAGGCCAAUCAAACCGGGAGAUAGCUGGUUCUCCCCGAAAGCUAUUUAGGUAGCGCCUCGUGAAUUCAUCUCCGGGGGUAGAGCACUGUUUCGGCAAGGGGGUCAUCCCGACUUACCAACCCGAUGCAAACUGCGAAUACCGGAGAAUGUUAUCACGGGAGACACACGGCGGGUGCUAACGUCCGUCGUGAAGAGGGAAACAACCCAGACCGCCAGCUAAGGUCCCAAAGUCAUGGUUAAGUGGGAAACGAUGUGGGAAGGCCCAGACAGCCAGGAUGUUGGCUUAGAAGCAGCCAUCAUUUAAAGAAAGCGUAAUAGCUCACUGGUCGAGUCGGCCUGCGCGGAAGAUGUAACGGGGCUAAACCAUGCACCGAAGCUGCGGCAGCGACGCUGAUGCGUUGUUGGGUAGGGGAGCGUUCUGUAAGCCUGUGAAGGUGUGCUGUGAGGCAUGCUGGAGGUAUCAGAAGUGCGAAUGCUGACAUAAGUAACGAUAAAGCGGGUGAAAAGCCCGCUCGCCGGAAGACCAAGGGUUCCUGUCCAACGUUAAUCGGGGCAGGGUGAGUCGACCCCUAAGGCGAGGCCGAAAGGCGUAGUCGAUGGGAAACAGGUUAAUAUUCCUGUACUUGGUGUUACUGCGAAGGGGGGACGGAGAAGGCUAUGUUGGCCGGGCGACGGUUGUCCCGGUUUAAGCGUGUAGGCUGGUUUUCCAGGCAAAUCCGGAAAAUCAAGGCUGAGGCGUGAUGACGAGGCACUACGGUGCUGAAGCAACAAAUGCCCUGCUUCCAGGAAAAGCCUCUAAGCAUCAGGUAACAUCAAAUCGUACCCCAAACCGACACAGGUGGUCAGGUAGAGAAUACCAAGGCGCUUGAGAGAACUCGGGUGAAGGAACUAGGCAAAAUGGUGCCGUAACUUCGGGAGAAGGCACGCUGAUAUGUAGGUGAAGCGACUUGCUCGUGGAGCUGAAAUCAGUCGAAGAUACCAGCUGGCUGCAACUGUUUAUUAAAAACACAGCACUGUGCAAACACGAAAGUGGACGUAUACGGUGUGACGCCUGCCCGGUGCCGGAAGGUUAAUUGAUGGGGUCAGCGCAAGCGAAGCUCUUGAUCGAAGCCCCGGUAAACGGCGGCCGUAACUAUAACGGUCCUAAGGUAGCGAAAUUCCUUGUCGGGUAAGUUCCGACCUGCACGAAUGGCGUAAUGAUGGCCAGGCUGUCUCCACCCGAGACUCAGUGAAAUUGAACUCGCUGUGAAGAUGCAGUGUACCCGCGGCAAGACGGAAAGACCCCGUGAACCUUUACUAUAGCUUGACACUGAACAUUGAGCCUUGAUGUGUAGGAUAGGUGGGAGGCUUUGAAGUGUGGACGCCAGUCUGCAUGGAGCCGGCCUUGAAAUACCACCCUUUAAUGUUUGAUGUUCUAACGUUGACCCGUGAUCCGGGUUGCGGACAGUGUCUGGUGGGUAGUUUGACUGGGGCGGUCUCCUCCUAAAGAGUAACGGAGGAGCACGAAGGUUGGCUAAUCCUG